rnacentral:rRNA from 1 species
CAGUCGCCGCGGGAAUACGUAGGUGGCAAGCGUUGUCCGGAAUUAUUGGGCGUAAAGGGCUCGCAGGCGGUUUCUUAAGUCUGAUGUGAAAGCCCCCGGCUCAACCGGGGAGGGUCAUUGGAAACUGGGAAACUUGAGUGCAGAAGAGGAGAGUGGAAUUCCACGUGUAGCGGUGAAAUGCGUAGAGACGUGGAGGAACACCAGUGGCGAAGGCGACUCUCUGGUCUGUAACUGACGCUGAGGAGCGAAAGCGUGGGGAGCGAACAGGAUUAGAUACCCCUGUAGUCCCUGUCUCUUAUAC